UUGCGUGGUUCACCACGGAGGUAGAGCUACUGGAUGGCCGAUGGGCCCUACUAGGUUACUGACGUCAGCCAAACUCCGAAUGCCGUGGUGUAAAGCGUGGCAGUGAGACGGCGGGGGAUAAGCUCCGUACGUCGAAAGGGAAACAGCCCAGAUCGCCGGCUAAGGCCCCUAAGCGUGUGCUAAGUGGAAAAGGAUGUGUAGUCGCAGAGACAACCAGGAGGUUGGCUUAGAAGCAGCCACCCUUGAAAGAGUGCGUAAUAGCUCACUGGUCAAGUGAUUAUGCGCCGAUAAUGUAGCGGGGCUCAAGCACACCGCCGAAGCCGCGGCACAUUCAUCUUUACGGUGGAUGUGGGUAGGGGAGCGUCCCCCAUUCAGCGAAGCCUCCGGGUGACCGGUGGUGGAGGGUGGGGGAGUGAGAAUGCAGGCAUGAGUAGCGAUAAGGCAAGUGAGAACCUUGCCCGCCGUAAGACCAAGGGUUCCUGGGCCAGGCCAGUCCGCCCAGGGUGAGUCGGGACCUAAGGCGAGGCCGACAGGCGUAGUCGAUGGACAACGGGUUGAUAUUCCCGUACCCGUGUAUGGGCGUCCCUGAUGAAUCAGCGGUACUAACCACCCAAAACCGGAUCGACCAUUCCCCUUCGGGGGCGUGGCGAUUCGGGGCUGCGUGGGACCUUCGCUGGUAGUAGUCAAGCAAUGGGGUGACGCAGGAAGGCAGCCGUACCAGUCAGUGGUAAUACUGGGGCAAGCCCGUAGGGAGAGCGAUAGGCAAAUCCGUCGCUCACUAAUCCUGAGAGGUGAUGCAUAGCCGGUUGAGGCGAAUUCGGUGAUCCUCUGCUGCCAAGAAAAGCCUCUAGCGAGCACAUACACGGCCCGUACCCCAAACCAACACAGGUGGUCAGGUAGAGAAUACCAAGGCGUACGAGAUAACUAUGGUUAAGGAACUCGGCAAAAUGCCCCCGUAACUUCGGGAGAAGGGGGGCCGGAAUACCGUGAACACCCUUGCGGUGGGAGCGGGAUUCGGCCGCAGAAACCAGUGGGUAGCGACUGUUUACUAAAAACACAGGUCCGUGCGAAGUCGCAAGACGAUGUAUACGGACUGACGCCUGCCCGGUGCUGGAAGGUUAAGAGGACCCGUUAACCCGUAAGGGUGAAGCGGAGAAUUUAAGCCCCAGUAAACGGCGGUGGUAACUAUAACCAUCCUAAGGUAGCGAAAUUCCUUGUCGGGUAAGUUCCGACCUGCACGAAUGGCGUAACGACUUCCCAACUGUCUCAACCAUAGACUCGGCGAAAUUGCACUACGAGUAAAGAUGCUCGUUACGCGCGGCAGGACGAAAAGACCCCGGGACCUUCACUACAACUUGGUAUUGGUGUUCGGUACGGUUUGUGUAGGAUAGGUGGGAGACUUUGAAGCACAGACGCCAGUUUGUGUGGAGUCGUUGUUGAAAUACCACUCUGAUCGUAUUGGACACCUAACGUCGAACCCUUAUCGGGUUCACGGACAGUGCCUGGCGGGUAGUUUAACUGGGGCGGUUGCCUCCUAAAAUGUAACGGAGGCGCCCAAAGGUUCCCUCAACCUGGACGGCAAUCAGGUGGCGAGUGUAAGUGCACAAGGGAGCUUGACUGCGAGACUUACAAGUCAAGCAGGGACGAAAGUCGGGACUAGUGAUCCGGCACCCCCGAGUGGAAGGGGUGUCGCUCAACGGAUAAAAGGUACCCCGGGGAUAACAGGCUGAUCUUCCCCAAGAGUCCAUAUCGACGGGAUGGUUUGGCACCUCGAUGUCGGCUCGUCGCAUCCUGGGGCUGGAGCAGGUCCCAAGGGUUGGGCUGUUCGCCCAUUAAAGCGGCACGCGAGCUGGGUUUAGAACGUCGUGAGACAGUUCGGUCUCUAUCCGCCGCGCGCGUCAGAAACUUGAGGAAACCUGUCCCUAGUACGAGAGGACCGGGACGGACGAACCUCUGGUAUACCAGUUGUCCCACCAGGGGCACGGCUGGAUAGCCACGUUCGGACAGGAUAACCGCUGAAAGCAUCUAAGCGGGAAACCUUCUCCAAGAUCAGGUUUCUCACCCUUUUAGAGGGAUAAGGCCCCCCGCAGACCACGGGAUUGAUAGGCCAGACCUGGAAGCUCAGUAAUGAGUGCAGGGAACUGGCACUAACCGGCCGAAAACUUACCAAC
rnacentral:rRNA from 1 species